GGGGGUUUCAAGGAGCUCCAUUCAGUCCAAUAAAGAGGGCAAAGGAGCGGUUAGAGCUGCCGCCUCAUGCAGUAGGCUAGCCUUAUUAUUUCUUUUCAGUGCGUGGUGACUAUAGUGAGAGUUACGUUGGAUGGAGCAGAUAAAUAUGUAAGUUUAGCCAUUUGCAUGGUGUGGGAGCAACUCCUCCCGCUUACUCUGCUCGCUCAUUGGACUGAAGGGAGCUCCCGUUGAAUCACUA
rnacentral:pre_miRNA from 1 species